rnacentral:tRNA from 2 species
GGGGAUGUGGCGGAAUGGCAGACGCGCACGGUUCAGGUCCGUGUACUCGAAAGGGUGUGAGGGUUCAACUCCCUCCAUCCCCACCA